AGAGUUUGAUCCUGGCUCAGGAUGAACGCUAGCGACAGGCUUAACACAUGCAAGUCGAGGGGCAGCGGGGGUAGCAAUACCCGCCGGCGACCGGCGCACGGGUGAGUAACGCGUAUGCAACUUACCUAUCAGAGGGGGAUAACCCGGCGAAAGUCGGACUAAUACCGCAUGAAGCAGGGGCCCCGCAUGGGGAUAUUUGCUAAAGAUUCAUCGCUGAUAGAUAGGCAUGCGUUCCAUUAGGCAGUUGGCGGGGUAACGGCCCACCAAACCGACGAUGGAUAGGGGUUCUGAGAGGAAGGUCCCCCACAUUGGUACUGAGACACGGACCAAACUCCUACGGGAGGCAGCAGUGAGGAAUAUUGGUCAAUGGGCGUAAGCCUGAACCAGCCAAGUCGCGUGAGGGAUGAAGGUUCUAUGGAUCGUAAACCUCUUUUAUAAGGGAAUAAAGUGCGGGACGUGUCCCGUUUUGUAUGUACCUUAUGAAUAAGGAUCGGCUAACUCCGUGCCAGCAGCCGCGGUAAUACGGAGGAUCCGAGCGUUAUCCGGAUUUAUUGGGUUUAAAGGGUGCGUAGGCGGCCUUUUAAGUCAGCGGUGAAAGUCUGUGGCUCAACCAUAGAAUUGCCGUUGAAACUGGGGGGCUUGAGUAUGUUUGAGGCAGGCGGAAUGCGUGGUGUAGCGGUGAAAUGCAUAGAUAUCACGCAGAACCCCGAUUGCGAAGGCAGCCUGCCAAGCCAUGACUGACGCUGAUGCACGAAAGCGUGGGGAUCAAACAGGAUUAGAUACCCUGGUAGUCCACGCAGUAAACGAUGAUCACUAGCUGUUUGCGAUACACUGUAAGCGGCACAGCGAAAGCGUUAAGUGAUCCACCUGGGGAGUACGCCGGCAACGGUGAAACUCAAAGGAAUUGACGGGGGCCCGCACAAGCGGAGGAACAUGUGGUUUAAUUCGAUGAUACGCGAGGAACCUUACCCGGGUUUGAACGCAUUCGGACCGAGGUGGAAACACCUUUUCUAGCAAUAGCCGUUUGCGAGGUGCUGCAUGGUUGUCGUCAGCUCGUGCCGUGAGGUGUCGGCUUAAGUGCCAUAACGAGCGCAACCCUUGCCACUAGUUACUAACAGGUAAAGCUGAGGACUCUGGUGGGACUGCCAGCGUAAGCUGCGAGGAAGGCGGGGAUGACGUCAAAUCAGCACGGCCCUUACAUCCGGGGCGACACACGUGUUACAAUGGCGUGGACAAAGGGAAGCCACCUGGCGACAGGGAGCGAAUCCCCAAACCACGUCUCAGUUCGGAUCGGAGUCUGCAACCCGACUCCGUGAAGCUGGAUUCGCUAGUAAUCGCGCAUCAGCCAUGGCGCGGUGAAUACGUUCCCGGGCCUUGUACACACCGCCCGUCAAGCCAUGGGAGCCGGGGGUACCUGAAGUCCGUAACCGAAAGGAUCGGCCUAGGGUAAAACUGGUGACUGGGGCUAAGUCGUAACAAGGUAGCCGUACCGGAAGGUGCGGCUG
rnacentral:rRNA from 1 species